rnacentral:rRNA from 1 species
UACGGAAGGCAGCAGUGGGGAAUAUUGCACAAUGGGCGCAAGCCUGAUGCAGCUAUGCCGCGUGUAUGAAGAAGGCCUUCGGGUUGUAAAGUACUUUCAGUCGUGAGGAAGGUGUUAAGGUUAAUAACCUUAGCAAUUGACGUUAGCGACAGAAGAAGCACCGGCUAACUCCGUGCCAGCAGCCGCGGUAAUACGGAGGGUGCGAGCGUUAAUCGGAAUUACUGGGCGUAAAGGGCACGCAGGCGGUUAAUAAGUUGGAUGUGAAUCCCCGGGCUUAACCUGGGAAUGGCAUUCAAGACUGGUUAGCUAGAGUCUUGUAGAGGAGGGUAGAAUUCCAUGUGUAGCGGUGAAAUGCGUAGAGAUGUGGAGGAAUACCGGGUGGCGAAGGCGGCCCCUGGGACAAAGGCUGACGCUCAUGUGCGAAAGCGUGGGGAGCAAACGAGGAUUAGAUACC